rnacentral:lncRNA from 1 species
GGCCGGGCUCGGGCCUAGAAAACUGGGCCCGAUUUGCUUUCGGGCCGGGCUCGGGCAAACCUUUGGCUCGGCCCGAGCCCAGCCCGGGCCCAAGCCCGAAUCAGGCCCAAAGUCAGGCCCGAUAUUUCUUCCGCCCUCUAGUCCCUCCUUCGCCUUUGCCUGGACUCUGGUACAAUCAAAUCAGAGUCGAUGGAGUGGGAAGUCUUCCUCUUGAUCGGAGGGAGCCGCUGUCGGAAAAAGACGACGCACCGAUGUCGGAGGUGGAGGCGGCAGUGGACUUGGCUGCGGGAGAUGGCGGCUAUGGUGGAGG